rnacentral:rRNA from 1 species
GAUGAACGCUGGCGGCGUGCCUAAUACAUGCAAGUCGAGCGAACGGACGAGAAGCUUGCUUCUCUGAUGUUAGCGGCGGACGGGUGAGUAACACGUGGAUAACCUACCUAUAAGACUGGGAUAACUUCGGGAAACCGGAGCUAAUACCGGAUAAUAUUUUGAACCGCAUGGUUCAAAAGUGAAAGACGGUCUUGCUGUCACUUAUAGAUGUAUCCGCGCUGCAUUAGCUAGUUGGUAAGGUAACGGCUUACCAAGGCAACGAUGCAUAGCCGACCUGAGAGGGGGAUCGGCCACACGGGAACUGAGACACGGUCCAGACUCCUACGGGAGGCAGCAGUAGGGAAUCUUCCGCAAUGGGCGAAAGCCUGACGGAGCAACGCCGCGUGAGUGAUGAAGGUCUUCGGAUCGUAAAACUCUGUUAUUAGGGAAGAACAUAUGUGUAAGUAACUGUGCACAUCUUGACGGUACCUAAUCAGAAAGCCACGGCUAACUACGUG